rnacentral:lncRNA from 1 species
CUUCACAGUGAGUCUCUAGAAUAAUGCCUUCAUUUUUUUCCCUGAAGGUAUCCCACAACCUAGAUGGAGAUUAUAAGAUACUUUCCUCUCUGUGAAUAAUUGCAGUCUACUUGGCUCAAUGUACCAAGGUUUAUGGUAGAGUGUUUAAGACAAAGCCAAGCUUGGGUUUCUUUGAAGGACAGCAAGGAGUAACUUACUGACUUUAUUCUCAUUUAGGAUGGUUUAAAAACACACAAACGAAUGUUCUCUUCCAAACAUCAAAUGACAGCUCCAAAAAUACAGGCUGAAAAAAAAAUCCCAUCAUCCAACUUUUUGGCCACAACAAACAACAGUUUACGAGAAACGAUAGAUUCAAGAGACGCGGCAGCAUUCCUUAGCGUCUAAUGUCAAUUGACAAUCAGCAGGAGAACCACAAUAAACAAGCAGCAGCAGGCGGAGCAGAAAAGUUACAAACCCACACCAUAUGGUGGAGCUGCCACUGUUGUUGGGCAACUCACCUUCGGUCCCCCUGACCUCAUAGAGGACCAGGCACAGCCAUGUGACUCUGAGAUGGCAUUGGCUCUGAUGGAACCCCACCAUCCCUCCAGCAUCCCAGUGCACACAUCCAUUACAUAUGGUCUUCUCAGUCCACUGGCAUCUUAGCCAUGAACUCUUCCCUCCAGAUCACCUAAACCACGUUGCCCAAACUUUGUUCUCAUCCCAAGAAAUGGUCCUUAACGAACUAGUUCCAAGGUCAAGGAAGACUCAAAAUGCUGCCUACAUCAUCAUCAGCAGGGACUCAGGUGCCUUCUAGUUUCCUGUACUGUGAAACCUAGGGCAUCACUUGCAUUUGGGGCAGCGGGGAGAGGAAGACAGAAGAGAAACCCCCUCCCUCUAAGAAACCUCCUAGAAGUAAAAUCAUUCGCUUAGAUCACUGCUCAUUUAUAAUGAACGAAUAGAUCAUUCUUUUAAAGUUUGUUGACCUAAACUAGGGCCCACGGCUUCUCCGGGUUAUAGGAAGGCUGAAAGAAGUGGACUUUUACCUGGGACAUAACUACAGUAUUAAAAGUUAGGACACUAAGACAGAGGAUGAGAAGAGAUGUUGGGAUUGGGGUGGGGAGCAUCUGGAACCCUGCUGUGCCAGCACGAUCCACUUCUCAUGAAACACUGGACACAAUAAUGACUGAUAUUUAACAUUCUUUGAUUGCUUAUUAUGUAUCAGGCACUACAGUGAGCACUCCGCAUCUCUUACCUUGUGAGUCCUCAAAACUGAUCAAGUUAGUACUCCUAUUUUACAGAUGAGGAAAUCAAGCCUCAGAGAGGUUAAAUGAUUUUUCCAAAGACACCCAGCUGGAAAUUAGUGCAGUUGUCUGCACUAAUUCAAUUUCAUCUUGACUUUGCAAACAAAUGAGCAAAACUCAUGCUCUUGACAGCACAGUAUUAGUAGAUCAUUUUAUAAUUCAGCAUCCCUGCACCAGGCUCUUAUUCUGACUUUGCCUUAAUAUUUGCCUAGUGGACUUCUGUU